rnacentral:rRNA from 1 species
UUCACAUGCCAAGUCGGACGGCAGCACGGAGAAGCUUGCUUCUUGGGUGGCGAGUGGCGAACGGGUGAGUAAUAUAUCGGAACGUACCGAGUAAUGGGGGAUAACUAAUCGAAAGAUUAGCUAAUACCGCAUAUUCUCUGAGGAGGAAAGCAGGGGACCUUCGGGCCUUGCGUUAUUCGAGCGGCCGAUAUCUGAUUAGCUAGUUGGUGGGGUAAAGGCCUACCAAGGCGACGAUCAGUAGCGGGUCUGAGAGGAUGAUCCGCCACACUGGGACUGAGACACGGCCCAGACUCCUACGGGAGGCAGCAGUGGGGAAUUUUGGACAAUGGGCGCAAGCCUGAUCCAGCCAUGCCGCGUGUCUGAAGAAGGCCUUCGGGUUGUAAAGGACUUUUGUCAGGGAAGAAAAGGCUGUUGCUAAUACCGACAGCUGAUGACGGUACCUGAAGAAUAAGCACCGGCUAACUACGUGCCAGCAGCCGCGGUAAUACGUAGGGUGCGAGCGUUAAUCGGAAUUACUGGGCGUAAAGCGAGCGCAGACGGUUACUUAAGCAGGAUGUGAAAUCCCCGGGCUCAACCUGGGAACUGCGUUCUGAACUGGGUGACUAGAGUGUGUCAG